CCUACGGGGGGCAGCAGUGGGGAAUAUUGGACAAUGGGGGGAACCCUGAUCCAGCCAUGCCGCGUGUGUGAAGAAGGCCCUCGGGUUGUAAAGCACUUUCAGUGAGGAAGAACGCCUGGUGGUUAAUACCCAUCAGGAAAGACAUCACUCACAGAAGAAGCACCGGCUAACUCCGUGCCAGCAGCCGCGGUAAUACGGAGGGUGCGAGCGUUAAUCGGAAUUACUGGGCGUAAAGCGCGCGUAGGUGGCUUGAAAAGCCGGUUGUGAAAGCCCCGGGCUCAACCUGGGAACGGCAUCCGGAACUGUCAAGCUAGAGUGCAGGAGAGGAAGGUAGAAUUCCCGGUGUAGCGGUGAAAUGCGUAGAGAUCGGGAGGAAUACCAGUGGCGAAGGCGGCCUUCUGGACUGACACUGACACUGAGGUGCGAAAGCGUGGGUAGCAAACAGGAUUAGAUACCCGUGUAGUC
rnacentral:rRNA from 1 species